rnacentral:rRNA from 1 species
GAUGAACGCUGGCGGCGUGCCUAAUACAUGCAAGUCGAGCGAACAGACGAGGAGCUUGCUCCUCUGACGUUAGCGGCGGACGGGUGAGUAACACGUGGAUAACCCACCUAUUAGACUGGGAUAACUUCGGGAAACCGGAGCUAAUACCGGAUAAUAUAUUGAACCGCAUGGUUCAAUAGUGAAAGACGGUUUUGCUGUCACUUAUAGAUGGAUCCGCGCCGCAUUAGCUAGUUGGUAAGGUAACGGCUUACCAAGGCAACGAUGCGUAGCCGACCUGAGAGGGUGAUCGGCCACACUGGAACUGAGACACGGUCCAGACUCCUACGGGAGGCAGCAGUAGGGAAUCUUCCGCAAUGGGCGAAAGCCUGACGGAGCAACGCCGCGUGAGUGAUGAAGGUCUUCGGAUCGUAAAACUCUGUUAUUAGGGAAGAACAAAUGUGUAAGUAACUAUGCACGUCUUGACGGUACCUAAUCAGAAAGCCACGGCUAACUACGUG